rnacentral:rRNA from 1 species
CGCUGGCGGCAUGCCUAACACAUGCAAGUCGAACGGUAACAGGUCUUCGGAUGCUGACGAGUGGCGCACGGGUGAGUAACGCGUGGAUAUCUGCCUAUGAGUGGGGGACAACUUUCGGAAACGAAAGCUAAUACCGCAUAAUCUCUACGGAGCAAAGCAGGGGACCUUUCGGGGCCUUGUGCUKAUAGAUGAGUCCGCGUCAGAUKAGCUAGUUGGUGGGGUAAGAGCCUACCAAGGCGAUGAUCUGUAGCUGGUUUGAGAGGAUGAUCAGUCACACUGGAACUGAGACACGGUCCAGACUCCUACGGGAGGCAGCAGUGGGGAAUUUUGCACAAUGGGGGAAACCCUGAUGCAGCGAUGCCGCGUGUGGGAAGAAGGCCUUUGGGUUGUAAACCACUUUCAAUUGGGAAGAAGGGAUGAGGAUUAAUAAUCCUCUGACUUGACGGUACCUUUAGAAGAAGCACCGGCUAAUUUCGUGCCAGCAGCCGCGGUAAUACGAAAGGUGCAAGCGUUGUUCGGAUUUACUGGGCGUAAAGAGAUCGUAGGUGGUUUGUUAAGUUGGAUGUGAAAUCCCGGGGCUCAACCUCGGAACUGCAUCCAAAACUGGCAGACUUGAGUUCGGGAGGGGUAAGCGGAAUUCCGUGUGUAGCAGUGAAAUGCGUAGAUAUACGGAGGAACACCUGAGGCGAARGCGGCUUACUGGACCGAUACUGACACUGAGGAUCGAAAGCGUGGGUAGCAAACAGGAUUAGAUACCCUGGUAGUCCACGCCCUAAACGAUGUCAACUAGCCGUUGCGGGUAUCGACCCCUGCAGUGGCGCAGCUAACGCGAUAAGUUGACCGCCUGGGGAGUACGGUCGCAAG